rnacentral:rRNA from 1 species
AACGUAGGAGGCAAGCGUUAUCCGGAGUAACUGGGCGUAAAGGGCGGGUAGGUGGUUGUGUAAGUUGGUUAUGAAAGCUCCUGGCUAAACUGGGAGAGGUUGACCAAGACUGCAGAACUUGAGUGGAGAAGAGGUAAACGGAAUUCCGCGUGUAGUGGUGAAAUGCGUAGAGAUGCGGAAGAACACCAGUGGCGAAGGCGGCUUACUGGACGAUUGUUGACGCUGAGGUGCGAAAGCGUGGGGAGCAAACAGG